GAUGAAGAACGCAGCGAAAUGCGAUACGUAAUGUGAAUUGCAGAUUUCAGUGAAUCAUCGAAUCUUUGAACGCACAUUGCGCCCGCCAGUAUUCUGGCGGGCAUGCCUGUUCGAGCGUCAUUUCAACCAUCAAGCCUUCGCUUGUGUUGGGGCCCCGCGGCAGCCGCGGUCCCCUAAAUCCAGUGGCGGGCUCGUCGUCGUACCGAGCGCAGUAGACAUCCUCGCUCCGGGAACCCGACGGGUGCCGGCCGUGAAACCCCCCACAUCAAGGUUGACCUCGGAUCAGGUAGGAAUACCCGCUGAACUUAAGCAUAUCAAUAAGCGGAGGA
rnacentral:misc_RNA from 1 species